UCUAAAAUAAAAAGCAGAAAGCAAAAAGAAAGACCUUGCUUUCUGCACUAAGUUUGUGAGUCUGGGUCUAACGUAAAUAAAUAUAAUUUUCUAAUUACGAUGAUUUCUUUGAUUUGUUUUAUAGUAUCUAUCACUCUAACAUUCUUUUAUAUUCCCCGUGACCUACAAGAUUUUAACUUUCUACUCUUAUACAAAACAUAACGUAUCUCAGCGUAUUCCCUCUGAAGCUGCGUACUGUCUGAGCGUACCUGUCGGCUGUGAUCGAUUGUGUUACAAAAGAUGAAAGUUACUAAAAGCAUACAAAGAAUAGCGAACUAUUUUCGCUACGCCGCGUUGUCUAACAUUAGCUUGUCUAUCCUCGACGCAACUCGGAAUAGCAAAGUUGUGUCAUAUUAAAAAAAAAAAAAGAAACAUAUCAAAAUAA